UACGAAGGGGGCUAGCGUUGCUCGGAAUCACUGGGCGUAAAGCGCACGUAGGCGGCUUCUUAAGUCAGGGGUGAAAUCCUGGAGCUCAACUCCAGAACUGCCUUUGAUACUGAGGAGCUUGAGUCCGGGAGAGGUGAGUGGAACUCCCGAGUGUAGAGGUGAAAUUCGUAGAUAUUCGGAAGAACACCAGUGGCGAAGGCGGCUCACUGGCCCGGUACUGACGCUGAGGUGCGAAAGCGUGGGGAGCAAACAGG
rnacentral:rRNA from 1 species